AACCAAUCACACACUAUCACUUGCAGAAGUCAAGGAAGAAACCAGGCUCUUGCUAGCAACUACCAAUCCAGACUCCUACUUCGCGGGCUUUGGCCAAUUGCCGCUCACCAGUCCCCAGGGACGGGAGUAGGAGCCCUUGCGCCUGCGCUCGAGGCGAGGGCCAAUGGAGAGACGCAGAUAACUUCGAUUUGGGGUUUUACGGACUUCCCACCUGCCCUCGAGGUCGUCGACCAAUGGGGGCCUGGCAUUGCCUCUGAGAAACAAUAAAUAAAGGAGAGGGCUCUUAAAUCCUCGCCACCUUGCGCGGGCACUACUCUGAGAGGGAAAAACAGCCUUCCGAUACUCUCCUUCCUCUUUCGAAGUGUCAAGUCUGGUAGACCACCGGGCUUCCCAAUCUUAAACAUUUCCCCACCCCCCACCCCCACCCUUCUUGUCCAUUUGGCGGGGAACGCCAGCUCCCAGAAAGCAAGCCAGCCUGUAACUAGAGUGGUGGCGCUUUUGCAUCCUGGGAUAUGUAGUUCCCCCCUCCCCGUUCCUGUCGCAAACGUAGUGCGAGUUCUUCCGUCACUGACUGCGCCCUAGGAGGAGUGAUGCGUGCUGGAGAACGUAGUCCCCCAGGUUCCCGUUUGGUCCUAGCCUGCCUCACUUUCAAGAGAACUUUCCCAUCUAGUUCUGCCUGUUGAAGAAGGGACUCUUUACAGAGAGGCUCAGACCAUGCUGUCCACAGUCCAAGGCUGCCCUAGGAGAUAACGUUUAAACACACCAGAGCCUGAAGUGGGUGAUCAAUAACCCGGGAGGUGACGCGCUCAGGCCAGGAGGCCCUGGGAGAGAGUGCUGAGGGGAUGCCAG